rnacentral:rRNA from 1 species
AUGAACGCUGGCGGCGUGCUUAACACAUGCAAGUCGUACGAGAAAUCUCGGGCUUGCUCGAGAGAGUAAAGUGGCGCACGGGUGAGUAACACGUAGGUAAUCUACCUCCGGGUCAGGGAUAACCCGCCGAAAGGCGGGCUAAUACCUGGUAAUACCCUGCCUGCGAGAGCAGGCGGGAUCAAAGGUGGCCUCUGCAUGCAAGCUACUGCUUGGAGAUGAGCCUGCGGACCAUUAGCUAGUUGGUAGGGUAAUGGCCUACCAAGGCGACGAUCAGUAGCUGGUCUGAGAGGAUGAUCAGCCACAUUGGGACUGAGACACGGCCCAAACUCCUAC